rnacentral:rRNA from 1 species
UACCGGCGGCUCGAGUGGUGGCCGCUAUUACUGGGCUUAAAGGGUCCGUAGCUUGAUGAUUGGGUCCCUUGAGAAAUCCACCGGCUUAACUGGUGGGCGUUCAGGGGAAACUGGUCUUCUAGGGACCGGGAGAGGUGAGAGGUACUGCCGGGGUAGGAGUGAAAUCCUGUAAUCCCGGUGGGACCACCUAUGGCGAAGGCAUCUCACCAGAACGGCUCCGACAGUGAGGGACGAAAGCUGGGGGAGCAAACCGGAUUAGAAACCCGUGUAGUCC